rnacentral:rRNA from 1 species
CCAUGGCAUGCUUAGUAGCGGCGAGUGAAGCGGCAAAAGCUCAAAUUUGAAAUCUGGCACCUUCGGUGUCCGAGUUGUAAUUUGAAGAUUGUAACCUUGGGGUUGGCUCUUGUCUAUGUUUCUUGGAACAGGACGUCACAGAGGGUGAGAAUCCCGUGCGAUGAGAUGCCCAAUCCUAUGUAAGGUGCUUUCGAAGAGUCGAGUUGUUUGGGAAUGCAGCUCUAAGUGGGUGGUAAAUUCCAUCUAAAGCUAAAUAUUGGCGAGAGACCGAUAGCGAACAAGUACAGUGAUGGAAAGAUGAAAAGAACUUUGAAAAGAGAGUGAAAAAGUACGUGAAAUUGUUGAAAGGGAAGGGUUUGAGAUCAGACUCGAUAUUUUGUGAGCCUUGCCUUCGUGGCGGGGUGACCCGCAGCUUAUCGGGCCAGCAUCGGUUUGGGCGGUAGGAUAAUGGCGUAGGAAUGUGACUUUGCUUCGGUGAAGUGUUAUAGCCUGCGUUGAUGCUGCCUGCCUAGACCGAGGACUGCGAUUUUAUCAAGGAUGCUGGCAUAAUGAUCCCAAACCGCCCGUCUUAA